rnacentral:rRNA from 1 species
UGUGUGUUAGUGGAAGCGUCUGGAAAGGCGCGCGAUACAGGGUGACAGCCCCGUACACAAAAAUGCACAUGCUGUGAGCUCGAUGAGUAGGGCGGGACACGUGGUAUCCUGUCUGAAUAUGGGGGGACCAUCCUCCAAGGCUAAAUACUCCUGACUGACCGAUAGUGAACCAGUACCGUGAGGGAAAGGCGAAAAGAACCCCGGCGAGGGGAGUGAAAAAGAACCUGAAACCGUGUACGUACAAGCAGUGGGAGCACGCUUAGGCGUGUGACUGCGUACCUUUUGUAUAAUGGGUCAGCGACUUAUAUUCUGUAGCAAGGUUAACCGAAUAGGGGAGCCGAAGGGAAACCGAGUCUUAACUGGGCGUUAAGUUGCAGGGUAUAGACCCGAAACCCGGUGAUCUAGCCAUGGGCAGGUUGAAGGUUGGGUAACACUAACUGGAGGACCGAACCGACUAAUGUUGAAAAAUUAGCGGAUGACUUGUGGCUGGGGGUGAAAGGCCAAUCAAACCGGGAGAUAGCUGGUUCUCCCCGAAAGCUAUUUAGGUAGCGCCUCGUGAAUUCAUCUCCGGGGGUAGAGCACUGUUUCGGCAAGGGGGUCAUCCCGACUUACCAACCCGAUGCAAACUGCGAAUACCGGAGAAUGUUAUCACGGGAGACACACGGCGGGUGCUAACGUCCGUCGUGAAGAGGGAAACAACCCAGACCGCCAGCUAAGGUCCCAAAGUCAUGGUUAAGUGGGAAACGAUGUGGGAAGGCCCAGACAGCCAGGAUGUUGGCUUAGAAGCAGCCAUCAUUUAAAGAAAGCGUAAUAGCUCACUGGUCGAGUCGGCCUGCGCGGAAGAUGUAACGGGGCUAAACCAUGCACCGAAGCUGCGGCAGCGACGCUGAUGCGUUGUUGGGUAGGGGAGCGUUCUGUAAGCCUGCGAAGGUGUGCUGUGAGGCAUGCUGGAGGUAUCAGAAGUGCGAAUGCUGACAUAAGUAACGAUAAAGCGGGUGAAAAGCCCGCUCGCCGGAAGACCAAGGGUUCCUGUCCAACGUUAAUCGGGGCAGGGUGAGUCGACCCCUAAGGCGAGGCCGAAAGGCGUAGUCGAUGGGAAACAGGUUAAUAUUCCUGUACUUGGUGUUACUGCGAAGGGGGGACGGAGAAGGCUAUGUUGGCCGGGCGACGGUUGUCCCGGUUUAAGCGUGUAGGCUGGUUUUCCAGGCAAAUCCGGAAAAUCAAGGCUGAGGCGUGAUGACGAGGCACUACGGUGCUGAAGCAACAAAUGCCCUGCUUCCAGGAAAAGCCUCUAAGCAUCAGGUAACAUCAAAUCGUACCCCAAACCGACACAGGUGGUCAGGUAGAGAAUACCAAGGCGCUUGAGAGAACUCGGGUGAAGGAACUAGGCAAAAUGGUGCCGUAACUUCGGGAGAAGGCACGCUGAUAUGUAGGUGAAGUCCCUUGCGGAUGGAGCUGAAAUCAGUCGAAGAUACCAGCUGGCUGCAACUGUUUAUUAAAAACACAGCACUGUGCAAACACGAAAGUGGACGUAUACGGUGUGACGCCUGCCCGGUGCCGGAAGGUUAAUUGAUGGGGUCAGCGCAAGCGAAGCUCUUGAUCGAAGCCCCGGUAAACGGCGGCCGUAACUAUAACGGUCCUAAGGUAGCGAAAUUCCUUGUCGGGUAAGUUCCGACCUGCACGAAUGGCGUAAUGAUGGCCAGGCUGUCUCCACCCGAGACUCAGUGAAAUUGAACUCGCUGUGAAGAUGCAGUGUACCCGCGGCAAGACGGAAAGACCCCGUGAACCUUUACUAUAGCUUGACACUGAACAUUGAGCCUUGAUGUGUAGGAUAGGUGGGAGGCUUGGAAGUGUGGACGCCAGUCUGCAUGGAGCCGACCUUGAAAUACCACCCUUUAAUGUUUGAUGUUCUAACGUUGACCCGUAAUCCGGGUUGCGGACAGUGUCUGGUGGGUAGUUUGACUGGGGCGGUCUCCUCCUAAAGAGUAACGGAGGAGCACGAAGGUUGGCUAAUCCUGGUCGGACAUCAGGAGGUUAGUGCAAUGGCAUAAGCCAGCUUGACUGCGAGCGUGACGGCGCGAGCAGGUGCGAAAGCAGGUCAUAGUGAUCCGGUGGUUCUGAAUGGAAGGGCCAUCGCUCAACGGAUAAAAGGUACUCCGGGGAUAACAGGCUGAUACCGCCCAAGAGUUCAUAUCGACGGCGGUGUUUGGCACCUCGAUGUCGGCUCAUCACAUCCUGGGGCUGAAGUAGGUCCCAAGGGUAUGGCUGUUCGCCAUUUAAAGUGGUACGCGAGCUGGGUUUAGAACGUCGUGAGACAGUUCGGUCCCUAUCUGCCGUGGGCGCUGGAGAACUGAGGGGGGCUGCUCCUAGUACGAGAGGACCGGAGUGGACGCAUCACUGGUGUUCGGGUUGUCAUGCCAAUGGCACUGCCCGGUAGCUAAAUGCGGAAGAGAUAAGUGCUGAAAGCAUCUAAGCACGAAACUUGCCCCGAGAUGAGUUCUCCCUGACCCUUUAAGGGUCCUGAAGGAACGUUGAAGACGACGACGUUGAUAGGCCGGGUGUGUAAGCGCAGCGAUGCGUUGAGCUAACCGGUACUAAUGAA